rnacentral:rRNA from 1 species
GAUGAACGCUGGCGGCGUGCCUAAUACAUGCAAGUCGAGCGAACAGACGAGGAGCUUGCUCCUCUGACGUUAGCGGCGGACGGGUGAGUAACACGUGGAUAACCUACCUAUAAGACUGGGAUAACUUCGGGAAACCGGAGCUAAUACCGGAUAAUAUAUUGAACCGCAUGGUUCAAUAGUGAAAGACGGUUUUGCUGUCACUUAUAGAUGGAUCCGCGCCGCAUUAGCUAGUUGGUAAGGUAACGGCUUACCAAGGCGACGAUGCGUAGCCGACCUGAGGGGGGGGUGGGCCAAUGGGGAAGUGGGAAACGGUACAGACGCCUAGGGGAGGCCAGAGGGGGUAAUCUGCCGAAAGGGGGGAAAGCCUGAGGGAGCAACGCCGGGGGGGUGAAGAAGGUCUUCGUAUGGUAAAACUCUUUUAUGGGGGAAAAACAAAUGUGAAAGUAACUAUGCACGUUUGGGGGGUACCUAAACAGAAAGCCACGGCAAAUUAGGU